CUCUCAUCCAGAGUACCAAUGUAAGAACAUAAACUUUUCCAGGGAGCAAAAGCUGAUGAGAAAUCAACCUACCAAAAAGAAAGAGAGGCUGGCAGCCACCAAAAUCUAAGGAGUCAUUUUAGAGAGCUGAAGCAGAAAUAAGAGGGUGCCCAUACCAAGGAGCUGCACACAGGGGAAGGCAAGGAAAGAGUGAGCUGGACUUCACCCAAAUCAAAGACAGCUUUGGAGUGCAUCAGUCCAACACCUGCUGCACGUGGAUGGUCCUGUCAUUGAGCUGCUUUGCCCCACUCCUGCUCAUUGGAGCCCAGAGUGAAAUUCAGUGGAAGUUCAGAGAAGCUGAGAUGCACUCAGAACCACUCUGCUGGUCCCAAUGCAGGCAGAAAAUAGGCAGCAAAAAACAGCCCAGGACCUAGAGGGUCUAGGCCUCUCUUGCCUCCUUGCUGGACUCACAGAAGGACCACAUGGACCUGGAGCUGACAUCUCAUCAUGGAAGCUCACAGAAGGCCUGGACUUUUGAACCCAAGAGCAAAGGUCAAUUUUUCCCACUAAA